rnacentral:rRNA from 1 species
UACGGGGGGGGCAAGCGUUGUUCGGAAUUACUGGGCGUAAAGGGCUCGUAGGCGGCCCACUAAGUCAGACGUGAAAUCCCUCGGCUUAACCGGGGAACUGCGUCUGAUACUGGAUGGCUUGAGUGUGGGAGAGGGAUGCGGAAUUCCAGGUGUAGCGGUGAAAUGCGUAGAUAUCUGGAGGAACACCGGUGGCGAAGGCGGCAUCCUGGACCAUUACUGACACUGAAUAGCGAAAGCCAGGGGAGCAAACGGG